AGUGAACGCUGGCGGUAGGCCUAACACGUGCAAGUCGAACGGCAGCACAGUAAGAGCUUGCUCUUACGGGUGGCGAGUGGCGGACGGGUGAGGAAUACAUCGGAAUCUACUUUUUCGUGGGGGAUAACGUAGGGAAACUUACGCUAAUACCGCAUACGACCUACGGGUGAAAGCAGGGGAUCUUCGGUCCUUGCGCGAUUGAAUGAGCCGAUGUCGGAUUAGCUAGUUGGCGGGGUAAAGGCCCACCAAGGCGACGAUCCGUAGCUGGUCUGAGAGGAUGAUCAGCCACACUGGAACUGAGACACGGUCCAGACUCCUACGGGAGGCAGCAGUGGGGAAUAUUGGACAAUGGGCGCAAGCCUGAUCCAGCCAUACCGCGUGGGUGAAGAAGGCCUUCGGGUUGUAAAGCCCUUUUGUUGGGAAAGAAAAGCAGCAGGUUAAUACCCCGCUGUUCUGACGGUACCCAAAGAAUAAGCACCGGCUAACUUCGUG
rnacentral:rRNA from 1 species